rnacentral:pre_miRNA from 1 species
UCUUACUGAGCAAAGAAAGUGGUUUCUUGAGAUGGAAUCUACUUCUGGUGAAGAUGAUGAGAA